rnacentral:rRNA from 1 species
UACAGGGGGGGCAAGCGUUGUUCGGAAUUACUGGGCGUAAAGCGCGCGUAGGUGGUUCGUUAAGUUGGAUGUGAAAUCCCCGGGCUCAACCUGGGAACUGCAUUCAAAACUGUCGAGCUAGAGUAUGGUAGAGGGUGGUGGAAUUUCCUGUGUAGCGGUGAAAUGCGUAGAUAUAGGAAGGAACACCAGUGGCGAAGGCGACCACCUGGACUGAUACUGACACUGAGGUGCGAAAGCGUGGGGAGCAAACAGG